GAAGGAAUCAAAAGUUAAUGGCAUAAUAGUAGAUGCGUUGAAGUGUUAGGGGCAAAAUGGGAAGGAAUCAAAAGAUAAUGGCAUAAUUGCAGAUAUAUCGAAGUGUUAGGGGCAAAAUGGAAAUUUAAUAAUAUUAAACAAAGGGUGAAUAGUGUUUUGAUGUGAUUUAAUUAGGGGGUUUGUGUGGCUUUUGGAUGGAAACCGAGAGAGAGUCACUGGGGAGUCUCAGACGGACAGAGAGGAAGAAAAAGAAGGAGAGGAAAGGAAAGGAAGAAAGGAAGAGGAAAGGAAAGGAAGAAAGGAAGAGGAAGGAGAUCCCGGUUGCACUUCUAGCUGAAGGGAAAAACGUAGAUCUCCUUCCCCUCUACGCAAGGACCUCGAUUUCCAAAAAGAAAAAGGUAAAUAUCAAUCCCUAUCUAGUCUUUUGAUGACAUUAGGCUAUACAAAGGGUGGAUAUAGUCUAGAGGGGUCGGAUAAGGGUUGUAGAGGCGGUUAAAAGAGGAAGAAUCGGAUUUUGACAAAUUUUUCCGGCACUACGGAAAAACUGUGCCGAAGUCCCAACUUCGGCAAAUUAUUUAGGGGGUCAAACGGCCUCCGAUGAUGAUGCAUGUUAUCUCUUUGGAAUCCUCUAUGAGUGUAGAAUGUUAGGUAAAAAUUUCAUCAAAUUUGGAGUCUGAAAAGUGGAUCAAACCUGGGAUGAAGUAACCGGCU
rnacentral:lncRNA from 1 species